rnacentral:rRNA from 1 species
GAGAUCGGGAUAACACCUGGAAACAGAUGCUAAUACCGGAUAAUAACAGAUGAUGCCUAUCAACUGUUUAAAAGAUGGUUCUGCUAUCACUCUUGGAUGGACCUGCGGUGCAUUAGCUAGUUGGUAGGGUAACGGCCUACCAAGGCGAUGAUGCAUAGCCGAGUUGAGAGACUGAUCGGCCACAUUGGGACUGAGACACGGCCCAAACUCCUACGGGAGGCAGCAGGC